AUUGAACGCUGGCGGCAUGCCUUACACAUGCAAGUCGAACGGCAGCGGGCCCUUCGGGGUGCCGGCGAGUGGCGAACGGGUGAGUAAUGCAUCGGAACGUACCCGGGAGAGGGGGAUAACCGGCCGAAAGGCUGGCUAAUACCGCAUGAACUCGGAAGAGCAAAGCGGGGGACCUUCGGGCCUCGCGCUCUCGGAGCGGCCGAUGUCCGAUUAGGCUAGUUGGUGGGGUAAAGGCCCACCAAGGCGACGAUCGGUAGCGGGUCUGAGAGGACGAUCCGCCACACUGGGACUGAGACACGGCCCAGACUCCUACGGGAGGCAGCAGUGGGGAAUCUUGGACAAUGGGCGCAAGCCUGAUCCAGCAAUGCCGCGUGGGUGAAGAAGGCCUUCGGGUUGUAAAGCCCUUUCGGCGGGGAAGAAAUCGGUCAGGCGAAUAGUCUGGCUGGAUGACGGUACCCGCAGAAGAAGCACCGGCUAACUACGUGCCAGCAGCCGCGGUAAUACGUAGGGUGCGAGCGUUAAU
rnacentral:rRNA from 1 species